GGUGACAUGGUCUAGUGGUAUGGCAUCUGCUUAGGGUGCAGAAGGUCCCGGGUUCGAUCCCCGGUGUUGCCC